rnacentral:rRNA from 1 species
UGGCGGACGGGUGAGUAAUGUCUGGGAAACUGCCUGAUGGAGGGGGAUAACUACUGGAAACGGUAGCUAAUACCGCAUAACGUCGCAAGACCAAAGAGGGGGACCUUCGGGCCUCUUGCCAUCAGAUGUGCCCAGAUGGGAUUAGCUAGUAGGUGGGGUAACGGCUAACCUAGGCGACGAUCCCUAGCUGGUCUGAGAGGAUGACCAGCCACACUGGAACUGAGACACGGUCCAG